rnacentral:rRNA from 1 species
AACGAACGCUGGCGGCAUGCCUAACACAUGCAAGUCGAACGAAGUCUUCGGACUUAUUGGCGCACGGGUGCGUAACGCGUGGGAAUCUGCCCUUGGGUACGGAAUAACUCAGAGAAAUUUGUGCUAAUACCGUAUAAUGUCUUCGGACCAAAGAUUUAUCGCCCAAGGAUGAGCCCGCGUAAGAUUAGCUAGUUGGUGGGGUAAAAGCCUACCAAGGCGACGAUCUUUAGCUGGUCUGAGAGGAUGAUCAGCCACACUGGGACUGAGACACGGCCCAGACUCCUACGGGAGGCAGCAGUGGGGAAUAUUGGACAAUGGGCGAAAGCCUGAUCCAGCAAUGCCGCGUGAGUGAUGAAGGCCCUAGGGUUGUAAAGCUCUUUUACAAGGGAUGAUAAUGACAGUAACUGGAGAAUAAGCUCCGGCUAACUCCGUG